rnacentral:rRNA from 1 species
AUCAUUAACUGAAUCCAUAGGUUAAUGAGGCGAACCGGGGGAACUGAAACAUCUAAGUACCCCGAGGAAAAGAAAUCAACCGAGAUUCCCCCAGUAGCGGCGAGCGAACGGGGAGGAGCCCAGAGCCUGAAUCAGUGUGUGUGUUAGUGGAAGCGUCUGGAAAGGCGCGCGAUACAGGGUGACAGCCCCGUACACAAAAAUGCACAUGCUGUGAGCUCGAUGAGUAGGGCGGGACACGUGGUAUCCUGUCUGAAUAUGGGGGGACCAUCCUCCAAGGCUAAAUACUCCUGACUGACCGAUAGUGAACCAGUACCGUGAGGGAAAGGCGAAAAGAACCCCGGCGAGGGGAGUGAAAAAGAACCUGAAACCGUGUACGUACAAGCAGUGGGAGCACAGAGCAAUCUGUGUGACUGCGUACCUUUUGUAUAAUGGGUCAGCGACUUAUAUUCUGUAGCAAGGUUAACCGAAUAGGGGAGCCGAAGGGAAACCGAGUCUUAACUGGGCGUUAAGUUGCAGGGUAUAGACCCGAAACCCGGUGAUCUAGCCAUGGGCAGGUUGAAGGUUGGGUAACACUAACUGGAGGACCGAACCGACUAAUGUUGAAAAAUUAGCGGAUGACUUGUGGCUGGGGGUGAAAGGCCAAUCAAACCGGGAGAUAGCUGGUUCUCCCCGAAAGCUAUUUAGGUAGCGCCUCGUGAAUUCAUCUCCGGGGGUAGAGCACUGUUUCGGCAAGGGGGUCAUCCCGACUUACCAACCCGAUGCAAACUGCGAAUACCGGAGAAUGUUAUCACGGGAGACACACGGCGGGUGCUAACGUCCGUCGUGAAGAGGGAAACAACCCAGACCGCCAGCUAAGGUCCCAAAGUCAUGGUUAAGUGGGAAACGAUGUGGGAAGGCCCAGACAGCCAGGAUGUUGGCUUAGAAGCAGCCAUCAUUUAAAGAAAGCGUAAUAGCUCACUGGUCGAGUCGGCCUGCGCGGAAGAUGUAACGGGGCUAAACCAUGCACCGAAGCUGCGGCAGCGACACUGUGUGUUGUUGGGUAGGGGAGCGUUCUGUAAGCCUGUGAAGGUGUGCUGUGAGGCAUGCUGGAGGUAUCAGAAGUGCGAAUGCUGACAUAAGUAACGAUAAAGCGGGUGAAAAGCCCGCUCGCCGGAAGACCAAGGGUUCCUGUCCAACGUUAAUCGGGGCAGGGUGAGUCGACCCCUAAGGCGAGGCCGAAAGGCGUAGUCGAUGGGAAACAGGUUAAUAUUCCUGUACUUGGUGUUACUGCGAAGGGGGGACGGAGAAGGCUAUGUUGGCCGGGCGACGGUUGUCCCGGUUUAAGCGUGUAGGCUGGUUUUCCAGGCAAAUCCGGAAAAUCAAGGCUGAGGCGUGAUGACGAGGCACUACGGUGCUGAAGCAACAAAUGCCCUGCUUCCAGGAAAAGCCUCUAAGCAUCAGGUAACAUCAAAUCGUACCCCAAACCGACACAGGUGGUCAGGUAGAGAAUACCAAGGCGCUUGAGAGAACUCGGGUGAAGGAACUAGGCAAAAUGGUGCCGUAACUUCGGGAGAAGGCACGCUGAUAUGUAGGUGAAGUCCCUCGCGGAUGGAGCUGAAAUCAGUCGAAGAUACCAGCUGGCUGCAACUGUUUAUUAAAAACACAGCACUGUGCAAACACGAAAGUGGACGUAUACGGUGUGACGCCUGCCCGGUGCCGGAAGGUUAAUUGAUGGGGUCAGCGCAAGCGAAGCUCUUGAUCGAAGCCCCGGUAAACGGCGGCCGUAACUAUAACGGUCCUAAGGUAGCGAAAUUCCUUGUCGGGUAAGUUCCGACCUGCACGAAUGGCGUAAUGAUGGCCAGGCUGUCUCCACCCGAGACUCAGUGAAAUUGAACUCGCUGUGAAGAUGCAGUGUACCCGCGGCAAGACGGAAAGACCCCGUGAACCUUUACUAUAGCUUGACACUGAACAUUGAGCCUUGAUGUGUAGGAUAGGUGGGAGGCUUUGAAGUGUGGACGCCAGUCUGCAUGGAGCCGACCUUGAAAUACCACCCUUUAAUGUUUGAUGUUCUAACGUGGACCCGUGAUCCGGGUUGCGGACAGUGUCUGGUGGGUAGUUUGACUGGGGCGGUCUCCUCCUAAAGAGUAACGGAGGAGCACGAAGGUUGGCUAAUCCUGGUCGGACAUCAGGAGGUUAGUGCAAUGGCAUAAGCCAGCUUGACUGCGAGCGUGACGGCGCGAGCAGGUGCGAAAGCAGGUCAUAGUGAUCCGGUGGUUCUGAAUGGAAGGGCCAUCGCUCAACGGAUAAAAGGUACUCCGGGGAUAACAGGCUGAUACCGCCCAAGAGUUCAUAUCGACGGCGGUGUUUGGCACCUCGAUGUCGGCUCAUCACAUCCUGGGGCUGAAGUAGGUCCCAAGGGUAUGGCUGUUCGCCAUUUAAAGUGGUACGCGAGCUGGGUUUAGAACGUCGUGAGACAGUUCGGUCCCUAUCUGCCGUGGGCGCUGGAGAACUGAGGGGGGCUGCUCCUAGUACGAGAGGACCGGAGUGGACGCAUCACUGGUGUUCGGGUUGUCAUGCCAAUGGCACUGCCCGGUAGCUAAAUGCGGAAGAGAUAAGUGCUGAAAGCAUCUAAGCACGAAACUUGCCCCGAGAUGAGUUCUCCCUGACCCUUUAAGGGUCCUGAAGGAACGUUGAAGACGACGACGUUGAUAGGCCGGGUGUGUAAGCGCAGCGAUGCGUUGAGCUAACCGGUACUAAUGAACCGUGAGGCUUAACCUUACAACGCCGAAGGUGUUU